rfam:Cavia porcellus supercont2_13 genomic scaffold, whole genome shotgun sequence.
AGGGAUUUAGCUCAGUGGUUUAAGUGCCUGCCUGGUAAGCACGAGAUCAUGAGUUCAAUCCCUG